rnacentral:rRNA from 1 species
UACGGGGGGAGCAAGCGUUGUUCGGAUUUACUGGGCGUAAAGGGCGCGUAGGCGGCCACCGCAAGUCGACUGUGAAAUCUCCGGGCUUAACCCGGAAAGGUCAGCCGAUACUGCGGGGCUAGAGUGCAGAAGGGGCAACUGGAAUUCUCGGUGUAGCGGUGAAAUGCGUAGAUAUCGAGAGGAACACCAAUGGCGAAGGCAGCUCGCUGGGACGGUACUGACGCUGAGACGCGAAAGCGUGGGGAGCAAACAGG